rnacentral:lncRNA from 1 species
AAUACAGAGACAGCAAAUGACUGUGAGUCAGAGGCGACCCCAGGGAACCAGUGCUGUGCGUCUCACCAACUCUGGGCACUAAUUACUUGGGAACAUUUUUAGAUUCUCAGAACCUACGCGGUGACUUCAGCCAUCCAGAAUAGUCAUUUUGAAAACAAACAAAAAUCCAUCUGAAAGUCACCUUGAUGAGAACAGGAGGCUGGCAGGACUUCCUAGCCAUCAGAAGGACCUUAAUGUGGCCAAGAUUUGCAGUUCUGUGUGACUCCUUGGACACCCUGCAUGCGCUUUUCAUCGAGUCAAGAAUCAUCUGACUUCCCACCCUGGCCCCAGCCUCUCUCUCCUCAGCCCCAGCAACUCUAUCUGCAGAGCUGUACCCUGCAUCUACUUGGAAAUGCAUUUUUGCCUCCAAAACACACAGAAGCUGUUGAUGUGUGCCUUGGAGUUAGGCGGGGGAAACUCCCCCAGAGAGCAGGGCACAUCAACCUAAAAAGCAAGGAAUGCAGACUCUGGGGUGACAUUCUUGCUCUUAACCAUGCCAGCCUGGCGCUCCACGGUGUUCACAUUCCUACAAUUAAACUGCCAAGUUCUCAAUCACCUGCAGCUGCUGCCAACUGCUGGCUGCUGAUAGCCAAAGUGGCAGCCGCCCGGGCGUCAGCAGUCCUGUUUUGCCACCUCCUCUGGACUGGCUUCACUGCUCUCCCAGCCUCCUCACGAUAGUCGGGCACUCAUUUCACUUUUCCGGGGGCUAUGGAGAGAGACACCUGGGCAGGUGCCGUGGGGCUGGCACGAAGAGGCUCCCUACAGGACCCACAGCUUUCCCUGUGCUGUGCUAUUUUAGUGCUUCAAAUACCACCUCCUCCUAGUGGGAUGGCAAUUCUCAUUCCCAAGGAGAGCAAACAGCCAGGAGAGUGGAGAGAAAGUGCUGAGCACACAUUCCCCGCCAGCCAUCCAGGAUCUCAGAGAACCUGCACCUCACCCAGGAAGGUAAAUAUUACACCCCGAUUUCAGAAACAAAGGCCCCGGGGAAAGCUUGGCCACUUGACAGUCUAGCUCCCUCCUCUCUCCCAUCACCAACACCCUGGAUUAGACGUUUAUGACCUUCCCUUGACCUUGUUUCUGCUUUUUAGACUCUAGGCUCCAUUCACUCGAUCUGCACCUUCGCCAUGGAAGCCAUUAGCUACAAGUGGCCACUGAGCCCUUGCAAGGUGGCUAGGACGAUUAAGACAUGCUGUUAAGUAGAAAUGACACAAUGGAUUCUGAUGACAUAGUACAAUAAGAAAGGCGGCAAAAUAUCUGGUGGAUAAUGUGUAACAUUGAUGACAUUUUGAAAUGCUUUUAAUGAUUGUAUUUUCAAUAUAAUAAUCAAGAUACAUUAUUAAUCUUUUUUUCCUUUUACUUUUUUCACAUGGCUCCUACAAGAUGUAAAGUUAUGCAGGCAGGUUACGUUUCUGGCUCAUGAUAUCAACGACUUAGAUCUCACAGUGUCUAGAGAUUGACCAGGAUGUUCUGUUUGAACCACCAACUGCCUGUGUCACCUCCCUGCUCCCCACAGCCAGCUGGCUUAAUUCCAGGGUCUUUGACACGGCUGAUGAGCCCUUCCCUGCUUGGUUCCUUGUCUCUCUCAUGUGUCCCCACACCUGCCAGCUCUAAAUGUGGGUGAUUCUUCAUCCACACCACAACGUGUCUAGCUCCUCUCUGCGGUUAUGCCCCCACCUGAGAGGCCUCUCUCCCUCAAGCUGCCCAGCAAUUCCUCCUGCUCAUUUCUCCAACUUGAUGACUACUUCUAGAAGCCUUCUUCACCCCCCUGCUUUCCCCAGGGCAAGAAGAGGGUGAAGCCAGCCAGGCACCUUCCAUGCACAAACCUCAGGCUGGUGCCUCCUGAAAGAGUCUCUAAGCACCUCUCCUGUCCCCAGGGCCUGUCUCUUGGAAUGGCCCCCUCUUCACAUAAUGCCUCCCGAUGGCUGUGCUCUGUGUCACAGAUGAUGAGAGAUGAUUCAUUAGUGGAUUCCCAGCAGCCCUCCAAAAAGCUGAUUGUGACACCCACAAGGUGAAACCUCAUUCAGAGAUGUCAAGUUUUCGUCAGGCACUGGGCUGUGUGCUGGGAUCCAGCGAGGCACAGUCUGUCCUUAAGAAACAUCUCAGAACUUGGUUACGUGCCCGCCAAUCUUCUACUCGGAACACACAUUUCCCGACCUCGAGGUGGACUACCCAUGCAGCUGGAUGAAGGAUGGAAUCAGGAUCUCAUCCCAGGGGUUCUGAUUCUGAACACCUAUGGCGAGGCCCAGAUGUUCCACGAGCAGAGGCAGAGGGACUUUCUCCUACUUCGUGUGCACUUACCUAUUACACUUGGUGUGCACUUACCUAUUUGUUCACGGGUGCAUCAUGGAGCAACUACACUGUGUAAAUCUUUGUCAUCGGACUGUCAGGGACACAGAGGGAAAUUGGAGAGGCGUCAUGUUUUAUAGGCUCCUCUAAUUUAUGAAAUGCUCCCAAGUGCACUCUUCUUCUGGACUUGUAGAACCAAGAUGAUGUCCCUUUUAGAGGCACGACUGCUUUGCCCCACGUCACAGGUGAAGAAGGAAUAGGGACCGUAAUUGAGGCCACAUGGUGAGUGGGGAGUGGAGGCUGGGUGAGCCCAGCUGUCUUCUCACUUGAUGAGGAGCUUGCCUUGAAAUGGUGUCUUGAGUCUCAGGAAUUUCAUACCUGGGAAUUCCAGACCAGCAGGAAGAAAGGGAGGAAAAAGGAUCAUGGAAGUCAAUUCAUGCCAGUGAAAAUGUGAAAGCCAGCUCACCCUUGGUGGCUGCCCGAUGCUGUAAGACUGUUGCUCAAUGUGACCCUGGCAGAUGCAACCCCCUCACACCCAAGUGCCUGGACUGAGCUUGGAACCCUGUGAACAUGGUGCUUCCUGUCAUGGUUCUAGGACAACCAGGACUUCUCUACAAGGCAGCCAGCCCAGCCCCUGCCCAGGCCAGCUCCCUGGGCGCUGGGGACCAGGUUGUCAGUUAAGCAGAUCUGACAGCUGACAGCUUUCAGCAGCAGCCCAAGCAGCAGCGUAGCUUUCUUUUCUCUCUCUCUCUCUCUCUCUCUCUCUCUCUCUCUCUCUCUCUCUCUCUCUCCUCUUCCUUUCCCUGUUGUUGUUGCAAGACUGGAAGCCUGACUGGAAUUUAAAGCAAGUCUUUGGGACAAAAUGUAUGUCAGCACCAAGCCUGCUCCUUUGCUUCUUCCCACUCGGUGGGGUCCGAGAACAGCUGCACUGUGAGAGGAGGGGUCUGGAGCAGGGAGGCAGGGGAGUGGCUUCUGUCCCAGCCUGGGCUUGUGUUGGGAGCACAGGAGGGGCAGGGGCAGGAAACCCUUCAGGGAGCAUCUGUAGUCUGUCCUGGGUCUCAAGGCCCUUUUGCUCCUGGAGACUGGGACACCGGAGGCUCCCAGUCGGCUGCUAAUCCAUCCUCUCCACGUUUGCCCAUCAGUCCCUGCUUAAGGCAGAUAGAUAAAUAGAUGGAUAGUUAAGAAGGGGGACUCUAAACAGCUUAGAUAAACCAUCCUAUUUACAUCUCGGCUCCAAUAUCUAUCAAUCCAUUCUCUCAGUCUGCCGCUUCCGCCUGCCUCCAUGAACCAUUCAUCUGUCUUCUCUCUGCCCCACGCUUUCCCUUCCCACCCCCCAUUUUCCAGCAUCAAAAUAAACCCGCAGCUGAGACACAAUGAGGCAUGUCCUUCCACUCCAGUUAUCUUGGAAGGGUGGUGAUGGUGGCUGACACCAUGGCUCCCUGUGACUCUCCUCCUCAGGAAAUAUGCAAAUGUCCUUUUGAAAGCUCAGGGGACAAACACCAAGUGUCAGAUCUGCUGGGCUAGGCCUGCAUUCACAGUUUUGCAAAUAGAGCAAGAAGCUCCCUAAUCCAGGCUCUCCUGGGAUAGGCGAGGUGGGAGACCCACAGUGAGCUUGGGGAGGAGAAGCCAUUUGAGUUAAUAAGGGGAGCAAGGAAUCGAAUAUGUGUACAGUUGUAUCAAUUUUUAGGUGAUUUGGGAUACCUGGAUGAAGUGAGGGACUAGGAGAAGAAAGAGGAAGAAAGUGGGAAUUUUCUAAAUUUCACAAUUAGCGCUAUUAACAUUCAAACGGUUCAUUUCUUUAGAUUCUCUGAACUCCAAAUUUCACUGCUAACAACAUAAGGGGCUAGUUUGAAUGAUUACAUUCCCAGUAGAAGCAAUGAAAAUUCAUGAUAUUAAUUGUAUAUGAAAAUAUCAACAAAUACAGAGAGGGGGGAAAAAAAGACCACUGGCCUCAUUAAUGAGGCAUGCUCUGCAUGCUAGACACACACGGCUAGGACAACUUGCCCUCUCCUUGGGGCCACCAGGCCUCAGAUUUUGCUGGGUCCAGAAAAUGCAAUAAUUCUCCCACUUUCCAUUGACCUCUGAAGACCACUCUGUCCUGUUCCCACAAUUGUCCCAUGUCUGGAGUCCCAGCUGUUGGUGCUAGGCCUUUCCUGGUGCCUCCUCAUCCCUUCUGUUGACUUCUGGACAAACAGGAGCAAAAGAAGGCAGCACCUUUAUCUAGAGAUCCUUAAAUGGAAGAACUUGCAGAAAACUGCGGUUGGCCCUGUCUCCUGACCUACUACAGGUCAUAGAGGUGGGCCCAGGCUCACAGGGUGUGACUUGCCAUAGGAGGAGAGCAGCCUCUUUGGACCCUGUGAGUCCAGUUCCAGAGGAAAUACAACAAUGGGGUGCCCUGUGGCUGCACCCCUACUCCAGUGGACGCUGGGGCAGCUUUCAGAACUGUUGGGGCAUCUGCUUCCCGGCCAACGUGAAGACUGCUGCUGACACAUGCCCAGAGCACCCCUGGAACUGGGAUGCACUACACACAGGAGACUCAGGACCCAGAGGAGAGUAUGUCCAUCCUCCAAGGCCAGAGAGGCUGAAAAAGAAGCAAGGCCCCAUUGUAGCCAGGAAAAAUAUGGUACAGUUAAGAUUUCACUCACCCACCACUUCAGAGAUGUUGGCCGGCUUGGCUGGCUUUGGGGCCAUGUGAUAUUUAUAAGUGUGCACUGGUGAGUAUCAGAAGAUGUCCGGAAGUGAUCACGAGCCCCGAAGGAGAAAAGGCCCCUUCCUCAAGCCAGCCAGGUUCAUGUGCCAAGGACGGUGCUUCUGAAAGGGGAGCAGCUGCUCUCCUGUGUGCUAUUUCAGGAUGCAAAUUUCUGAAUACACAUUGUUUUAAGAAAGGAGAUGGGAGACAGAAACCUGUGCCUUCUAUUUUCUGACUCUGACAUUCAGAAAAUCCAUGUUCUUGACUCACUUCACGUAGAGAGAUAAGGGAAUGACGCUAGCUAGCCGACUGCUGGGGACUGGUCCCUAGAGACCCCUCCCAGCGGUGAUCAUGAUGCAACAUUUAGGGAAGAAAAGCUCCCUCCUUACCUUGAGAUAAUCCCAAGGAAGAGAAAAGCAAACAGUAAGACGGAAAAGCAAGCCUCCCGCAUCCAACACUCAAGGCAAAGCAGGAGAAAUAUGAGGCUUUAAAUCAUGAGGUUCCUGAUGACAAGAGGUCCCUUGAGAAAGAAAGCCAAGAAUAAGUGGGCGGUGGUGCAUGAUAAAUGUUUGCGUGAAUAGACGGAUGAAUGAGCCAAUGAACCCAGAGGCUCUGAAUCGUGGCGGACUCACCUGACCCUUGGUACAUCUCUAGUGAAGGAAACUGCAGAAUCUAUGGAGAACCUUAAAAAGAAGUAGGGUGUUUAGUGUGGUGCCUUAGCAGUGGCCUCUGUGCAGGGGCAGCUAGAGCCAUGUGAAGACCAACUGUAUCACAUGGCCCAGGAAAACCUGUGGAAAGGUGAUUCCCAGGUGCUGUCUCAAACCCACGGAACAAAGUCCCCGGAGUGGAGCCCAGAAGCUGUUUGUGAUCAGCUCCCAGCUGCUUCUCACGUAGGCCAGCCAGACUUGGCCAAUUGCCAGAUUAGCAUUGAAAACUACUGUUCUGGAUGACGUCACCAAGACCUUUCCAACCUCAGGAUUCUAUGAUUGUAAAAAGAAGACACGGGGUGAAGAAAUCUAGGCUAGAGAGUUCAUUCAUUGCACAUUUAUUGAGCACAUACUGCACACCAACCACUGGGAAUGUAACAGGGGUUUUAUUUAUGUAUUUAUUUAUUUUUACGUGGUGCUGAGGAUUGAACCCAGUGCCUCACAUGUGUGAGGCAAGCACUUCACCACUGAGCUACAACCCCAGCCCAAACAGGGGGUUAAAAAGAAAGCACAGAGGAGUUGCUCUGGACCCUGGCUGAGGAGGAACAUCUUGAUCUCCAGAGAAAACCAAUAGAAAUUUAACCCACCAUUAACAAGACCAUCAGAGAGGGUGAGC